UAGUGGCGCACGGGUGCGUAACGCGUGGGAAUCUGCCCUUGGGUUCGGAAUAACAGCUGGAAACGGCUGCUAAUACCGGAUGAUGACGUAAGUCCAAAGAUUUAUCGCCCAGGGAUGAGCCCGCGUAGGAUUAGCUAGUUGGUGGGGUAAAGGCUUACCAAGGCGACRAUCCUUAGCUGGUCUGAGAGGAUGAUCASCCACACUGGGACUGARACACGGCCCARACUCCUACGGGAGGCAGCAGUGGGGAAUAUUGGACAAUGGGGGMAACCCUGAUCCAGCAAUGCCGCGUGAGUGAUGAAGGCCUUAGGGUUGUAAAGCUCUUUUACCCGGGAUGAUAAUGACAG
rnacentral:rRNA from 1 species